rnacentral:tRNA from 1 species
CAAGGUAGAGCUUAUAAAAGUAUUUUGUUUACACCAAAAAGUUUGCCUUAUGGUAUGUCUUGA